CCUACGGGAGGCAGCAGCAGGGAAUGUUGUGCAAUGAGCGAAAGCUUGACACAGCGACACCGCGUGUGGGAUGACGGUUCUAGGAUUGUAAACCACUUUCAGGAGGGAAGAAAAUGACGGUACCUCCACAAGAAGACCCGGCCAACUAUGUGCCAGCAGCCGCGGUAAUACAUAGGGGUCAAGCGUUGUCCGGAUUUAUUGGGCGUAAAGAGCUCGUAGGCGGUUCAACAAGUCGGUCGUAAAAGUUUAGGGCUCAACCCUAAAAUGUCGAUCGAUACUGUUGUGACUAGGAUACGGUAGAGGUGAAUGGAAUUCCGAGUGUAGCGGUGAAAUGCGUAGAUAUUCGGAGGAACACCAAUUGCGAAGGCAGUUCACUGGACCGUGAUCGACGCUGAGGAGCGAAAGCUAGGGGAGCAAACAGGAUUAGAUACCCUGGUAGUCCUAGCUGUAAACGAUGGAUACUAGAUGUAGGAACUGGAUUGACGGUUUCUGUAUCGUAGCUAACGCGUUAAGUAUCCCGCCUGGGGAGUACGGUCACAAGACUAAAACUCAAAGGAAUUGACGG
rnacentral:rRNA from 1 species